AUAUACGACCGUACCGCAAACCGACACUGGUGCGCGAGAUGAGUAUUCUAAGGCGCUUGAGAGAACUCAGGAGAAGGAACUCGGCAAAUUGACACCGUAACUUCGGAAGAAGGUGUGCCCUAUUAGUGUGUAGUUAACAACGAAGCAUGAAUGGGUUGCAAAAAAUCGGUGGCUGCGACUGUUUAUUAAAAACACAGCACUCUGCAAACACGAAAGUGGACGUAUAGGGUGUGACGCCUGCCCGGUGCUGGAAGAUUAAAUGAUGGGGUGCAAGCUCUUGAUUGAAGCCCCAGUAAACGGCGGCCGUAACAAUAACGGUCCUAAGGUAGCGAAAUUCCUUGUCGGGUAAGUUCCGACCUGCACGAAUGGCGUAACGAUGGCCACACUGUCUCCUCCUGAGACUCAGCGAAGUUGAAAUGUUUGUGAUGAUGCAAUCUCCCCGCGGAAAGACGGAAAGACCCCAUGAACCUUUACUGUAGCUUUGUAUUGGACUUUGAACAGAUCUGUGUAGGAUAGGUGGGAGGCUUUGAAGCAGGGUCGCUAGAUCUUGUGGAGCCAACGUUGAAAUACCACCCUGGUGUGUUUGAGGUUCUAACCUAGGUCCAUUAUCUGGAUCGGGGACAGUGCAUGGUAGGCAGUUUGACUGGGGCGGUCUCCUCCCAAAGCGUAACGGAGGAGUUCGAAGGUACGCUAGUUACGGUCGGACAUCGUGACGAUAGUGCAAUGGCAUAAGCGUGCUUAACUGCGAGACUGACAAGUCGAGCAGAUGCGAAAGCAGGACAUAGUGAUCCGGUGGUUCUGUAUGGAAGGGCCAUCGCUCAACGGAUAAAAGGUACUCUGGGGAUAACAGGCUGAUACCGCCCAAGAGUUCAUAUCGACGGCGGUGUUUGGCACCUCGAUGUCGGCUCAUCUCAUCCUGGGGCUGUAGCCGGUCCCAAGGGUAUGGCUGUUCGCCAUUUAAAGAGGUACGUGAGCUGGGUUUAAAACGUCGUGAGACAGUUUGGUCCCUAUCUUCCGUGGGCGCUGCAGAUUUGAGGAAGCCUGCUCCUAGCACGAGAGGACCGGAGUGGACACACCUCUGGUGUAUCGGUUGUCACGCCAGUGGCAUUGCCGAGUAGCUAAGUGUGGAAGAGAUAACCGCUGAAAGCAUCUAAGCGGGAAACUCGUUUCAAGAUGAGAUCUGCCGGGGCCUUGAGCCCCCUAAAGAGUCGUUCAAGACCAGGACGUUGAUAGGUCAGGUGUGGAAGC
rnacentral:rRNA from 1 species